GACGAACCGUGCGAACGUUAUUCGGAAUCACUGGGCUUAAAGGGCGCGUAGGCGGGCCACCAAGUCAGGGGUGAAAUCCCACGGCUCAACCGUGGAAGUGCCUUUGAUACUGGUGGCCUCGAGGGAGGCAGGGGCGUGCGGAACUUUGGGUGGAGCGGUGAAAUGCGUAGAUAUCCAAAGGAACACCGGUGGCGAAAGCGGCGCGCUGGACCUCUUCUGACGCUGAGGCGCGAAAGCCAGGGGAGCAAACAGG
rnacentral:rRNA from 1 species